rnacentral:rRNA from 1 species
AUGAGGCGAACCGGGGGAACUGAAACAUCUAAGUACCCCGAGGAAAAGAAAUCAACCGAGAUUCCCCCAGUAGCGGCGAGCGAACGGGGAGGAGCCCAGAGCCUGAAUCAGCAUGUGUGUUAGUGGAAGCGUCUGGAAAGGCGCGCGAUACAGGGUGACAGCCCCGUACACAAAAGCGCAUGUGCUGUGAGCUCGAUGAGUAGGGCGGGACACGUGGUAUCCUGUCUGAAUAUGGGGGGACCAUCCUCCAAGGCUAAAUACUCCUGACUGACCGAUAGUGAACCAGUACCGUGAGGGAAAGGCGAAAAGAACCCCGGCGAGGGGAGUGAAAAAGAACCUGAAACCGUGUACGUACAAGCAGUGGGAGCCCCACCACUAAGCCAGUGGUGAACUCCACAUACGCAUCCUUUGCUGAAGGCAAUGGUUAACGGAGCGAAAGCGACGUUCAACCGCAAAACAAGCAGAGGGGGCUUAGUGGUGGGGUGACUGCGUACCUUUUGUAUAAUGGGUCAGCGACUUAUAUUCUGUAGCAAGGUUAACCGAAUAGGGGAGCCGGAGGGAAACCGAGUCUUAACCGGGCGUUAAGUUGCAGGGUAUAGACCCGAAACCCGGUGAUCUAGCCAUGGGCAGGUUGAAGGUUGGGUAACACUAACUGGAGGACCGAACCGACUAAUGUUGAAAAAUUAGCGGAUGACCUGUGGCUGGGGGUGAAAGGCCAAUCAAACCGGGAGAUAGCUGGUUCUCCCCGAAAGCU